AGGUAGCCUACGUGUGAUGUUUGGAGAAGCACAAUGUUUCAUUCUGCUGUGACAAGAAGGAUGAUGUACAGUGGCAAGCAGUGUUGCUGUUGACGGAUCAGUGGAGGGACAAAGACUUGGAAGAGCAGUGUGUUUUUACAGGCAGCUGGCCUUCAGUUGCAUGACACAUAUGCUGUAGUGGAAACCUGGCCUCAAGAAACAUAGGGAUCCCCAUCUACGUGGCUUAACUGUUCCCACAACACUAAACCACAACCAGUGAUGGGGAGGAGUUUACGACAAGGUGUUUAAGACAGCGGAACAACACUAAUACUGGAGAGUGAUUGGUAAAAGGUUGUUUAAAAAGAUGUCACGCUAAUCCUGACAAAUCGUUUCAAACAUCUUGCGGGCAGCUACAGCUACAACCAAAACCCUAACCCUAAACUGGAUUAGAAAAUCAAAAUAACAAAUCUGCACUUAAAUUAGUACUUGAGUAACUUGCGUGAUUAAAUGCAUGAUGGUGCUGUGUGUACUCAGCUUGAUAUAAUUUGUCUGUGUGUGACUUUUGGACAGGAUUUUUGUCUCUGCCUGCAAAUACUGUUAUGCCAUAGUUGUUUGAACCAAAAUAAACAAUACUUUUGUA